CCUUCACUUCGUUCUACUUCUCUGAAAAUCAGCUUCUACGUUUCUCCUCCACUCCUUUCUUCUUCUAUGCCAUUAAUUCUUUCAGACAGAAAAUGCUGAGUUCUUCUAUUGCUGAUGCGUGUCUUUGAGUUCUGCUUCUCUGUGUAUCUCUGCGUAUCUCUGAGUUCUGCUUCUCUGCCUUUCUCCUCCGAAAAUUACCUAUGCAUAUCUCUGCAUUUCUCCUCCGAAAAUCACCUCUGCGUAUCUCGGAGUUCUGCUUCUCUGCCUUCGCUGCUGCUAUAUCAACUCAUCGCAAAUGCUGAAGAGUUGUCGUCGCUGUCCUCCCUCUGUUGCCGGCACCAUUGAUCAUCUCAGUUGUUGUCGCCGCUCCAUCUAGUUUCCGUCGCUGUUCAUUUUUUCCUCCAUUUAAACAACUUCUUGGAUCUAGUAUUUUGGUUUUUUAGAUCAACAGUGAUACCUAGAGUUUUCAGAAUCAGAACAGAAACAAUUCUUAUUGUAGAAGAUCUACUCGGUGAAUCACUGGUGAUUUGGUCCGACCAAAUAAAAAGGGGACAUGUGAACACGAAUUGACUAAGAGAUGACAAUUCAGCAUGGCAUACCUAGUUUGCAACAAUUGAGUUCAGGUAUUUUGGCACCUCGGCACAAGGAACGCCUCGGCUUGAGGCUCAUCUCGGCGUAGGGUCACCUCGGCACUAGUCUCACUUUGGCAUCGAGGCCCCUUGGUAUUCAAUCCAGUUUGAAAUUAAAAGACCGAAGUAUCGGCUUGGGACCACAACUCGAAUUGCCACAAACUGACUCCCAUGUAACAAACCCCAGAGGUCUCUCCAACGGAUCCUGAAUCUCUCGGGAUCAUGAUGAGUUAACAGAUCCCGACCUUUUCGGGAUUGCGAUGAGGACUUACCCUGACUCCGUCAGAAUCGGAAGUGGAACGAGAUAAGCCUUACCUGUAUACUGCUCCUUAGGAAGCGGAGCAAACUCUAUCUCCACACCCCGGAUAUCCCGGAGAUCUUUCGUGUGCCCCAUGACUACUCCAGUAUAUAAAGGCACCAACCCCAAUGGCGCAAGGUAUGCAUGAUUUUACAGCUCUCUAGCACUCUAAGCUCUCAAAGCUCUUCAGCUCGCAUCAAAUUACUAACUUAAGCAUCGGAGCGACCUCGCCGGGUUAGCCACCCCGGGUUCUUUGAUCCUUUCUUGUAGAUUCACUUAGCUCGCCAUCCAACUGGAAGCUAGAUCAUCCUCCAACAGGGAGCAACAGGGAGCAGUCAUAUUGUGCUACAUCAAUUGGCGUCGUCUGUGGGAAGACGAUCAAAAAGCCUUGUUCACAAUCAACAACUUCUCAUUGAAAUCAAUGGCCUCUUUCAGUCAUGUUGGACAGAGAAGUGAGAUGAAUGUCUCUGGGGGGAAACCUCAGCUUCCUUUAGUGUACAUUGGCCAGUUCACCAUACCGCUUACUGCGACUGGGGUCCCAACACUGACCAUGCCACAAAACACCACACAGGUGAACGCCCCACUCCCUCUAGUGGUAGGCGCAACCUUCGCUGAGCCAUUUGUGGUUCCCCCAGAGUUGGACAAUCUCAGUUUGAUAACUUGGUGCACUGCGUGCGGGCCCAUCCAGGUCCAAAUGUAGCAGUUUCAUCAGUACCAGCAGUAUAUGUUCUACCAGCACUACCAGCAACAGUUCCCUCCACUGCCAUAGAGCCAGCAGCCGGUUCCACCAAGGCACCCAGGGACCCAGCAGAACCAGAACCGACCUUGCGUGAACCAGGACAUCACUCGAUCUCCCCACUGAGGCAAGGAGACUUCCUAAGUCCCAGUUCCUCCCAGGAGUCAAGUCUCACCUCGCAGGAAGAAAGACAGUCAGAUCACUCCACCUGCUUCACAAGGCAACCUCGGAAACAGGUCCGGUGACACUCAACCCAACCGGGCCAUUCUUCCUCGGCAUUCACGUCAAGAAGGAUCACUCGCAGGAAACCGGUUCGGGGUUCUGGGUGCGAACUCAAGGCAAGGCCCCUCUGUCCACGAUAGUCAGCCCCAGAACCCCACAAGGAACCAAGAGCUAUCUCGCAGCAGAAUAGUACCAGAGCAUGCUAAGGUUAGCAGCACCAAUGCAGAGCCAUCAAAGAAGCAGCAACGGAUGCGUCGCAAGGCACGUUGAACUUUAGUACAGAACAACCAGCUUGCGAGAUCGAACCAACAAGAAUAGAUGAAAGGUAAAGAGGAAGUGAGCUCGGUAGCUACAAAGACCGCUCCUCUACUCUUCGGGUCGUCCCUUCUGUCUUCCGAACUCUGGGCGACCCCGAUGCCCAAGGACUUCAAGAUGCCUCCCCUAGAUAAGUAUGACGGAUCUUUUGAUCCUAAUGAUCACAUGGAUUCCUUCCAGUCUUAGAUGCACCUAGCUGAGGCUGACGAAUCCUGCAUGUGCGUAGCUUUCUCCACCACCUUCAAGGGAGUAGUUCGGACUUGGUACCGAAACCUUGCGCCAGGAUCAAUCAAGAGCUGGGCGUAGUUCGUGGAAUUAUUUACCUCGCACUUCAUCACCAGUAAGAAGUGCCUGAAGUCACAAGAGAGUCUGAUUAACGUAGUUCAAAGAGAAGGGGAGUCCAUCAGAAGCUACAUCAAGCGGUUCAACGACACCUACUUGCAGAUCCCUGACCUAGACCCAGCGGUGAGACUCAUGGCCAAUAAA